rnacentral:rRNA from 1 species
GUGUUGCACCCCGGACCCUUUAUAAGAAUUAAACGCGCUUAUG